UGGGGAAUAUUGCACAAUGGGCGAAAGCCUGAUGCAGCGACGCCGCGUGAGGGAUGACGGCCUUCGGGUUGUAAACCUCUUUCAGCAGGGACGAAGCGCAAGUGACGGUACCUGCAGAAGAAGCACCGGCUAACUACGUGCCAGCAGCCGCGGUAAUACGUAGGGUGCAAGCGUUGUCCGGAAUUACUGGGCGUAAAGAGUUCGUAGGCGGUUUGUCGCGUCGUUUGUGAAAACCAGCAGCUCAACUGCUGGCUUGCAGGCGAUACGGGCAGACUUGAGUACUGCAGGGGAGACUGGAAUUCCUGGUGUAUCGGUGAAAUGCGCAGAUAUCAGGAGGAACACCGGUGGCGAAGGCGGGUCUCUGGGCAGUAACUGACGCUGAGGAACGAAAGCGUGGGUAGCGAACAGG
rnacentral:rRNA from 1 species